rnacentral:rRNA from 1 species
CCAAUAGCGUAUAUUAAAGUUGUUGCAGUUAAAAAGCUCGUAGUUGAAUUUCGGGAUCAAUGUUUCGGUCAUGCCGUUGGUAUGUACUGAUAUUAUUGGUUUCUCACCUUCUAAAGAACCGUAAUGCCAUUAAUUUGGUGUCACGGGGAAUUAGGACUGUUACCUUGAAAAAAUUAGAGUGUUUAAAGCAGGCUCACGCUUGAAUACAUUAGCAUGGAAUAAUGAAAUAGGACAUCCGAUUCUAUUUUGUUGGUUUCUAGGAUCGAUGUAAUGAUUAAUAGGGAUAGUUGGGGGCAUUAGUAUUCAAUUGUCAGAGGUGAAAUUCUUGGAUUUAUUGAAGACUAACUACUGCGAAAGCAUUUGCCAAGGAUGUUUUCAUUAAUCAAGAACGAAAGUUAGGGGAUCGAAGACGAUCAGAUACCGUCGUAGUCUUAACCAUAAACUAUGCCGACUAGGGAUCGGAUGAUGUUAAUUUUUUAAUGACUCAUUCGGCGACUUACG